AGAAACGGUAGCUCAAUGGAAGAGCUCUAACCCUCCAAGUUAGAUGUUGCGGGUUCGAAUCCCGCACGUUUCUA
rnacentral:tRNA from 1 species